CUCAGAGCACCACCUCAACAAGGGGAUUCUAUAAUCUCAUUCAUUCCAUUAUCACAUUCUGUCUUUCCUCUGAUCCCCUGCCCUUAGCAGGAAAAAAGAAAUGAACAAAAGGCAUCCCUCCAAAGUAUCAGGGUGCCAAUCUAGGGGGACACAACAGGAAACGUGACUGUGAAUCAGCUGCCUGAUAAAACAGCCAGGAUGGAGCCCACGUCAUUGUGGGAUUCAACAAAGUCAUUGAAAACACCAGCCGCUUAUUGCAGUAUGGAUAUCCCUUUAAGACAUGAAAGGAAAGUUCAAAGAGAAUGAGUUAGAUGGCUCAGAAAGCCACAUUAUUAAAAUAUAUUUGUUUUAUUAGC